rnacentral:lncRNA from 1 species
GAACUUUAGAAGGUUUAUUGUUGAUAGAGCUGUAGUGAUUCUGAAACUUGUAUUUAUGGUAGCACUGAGCAAAUGAGUGAAAUAUAUUGAGAAUAAUGGGAGCCAGGGUUAUUACUGCUGUGGUAAGAGAGACAAUACAGAAUGGGGGAAGGCAAAGAAGCACCCAUGGUGUUGGAUUAAAAGUUUCAGUAUGAACUCCUGAGUCAACAUAGGGUGCUAUGCCUUAUUGAGCAUCUGUACUGCUAAACACAUAUACCACAAUUGCAAACAUCACAUUUAAUCCUCAAUUCAUGGAGGAAUUAGGAGAUAGAUAGGGCAUAUUACCCUAUUUUUAAAAUAAGGAAACUUAAGCCUAAGAAAUACUUUGCCUUAAAAACUUACUAUAUAUCUCACCUAUGGAUAAAAAAACUAACUCGAGAGGAAAAAGAACAAUACCCAGAGGUGUGAAAUAAAAAUCAGCUCUAGAUGAUAACACUGUGUACUAUUUUUCUUUCUAGUUGUAUUGAUUUUUCAGAUUUCCACCUAAAAAAAUCGAAUUUAUGCUCAAAAAAUACAACUUAA